UACGUAGGGGGCAAGCGUUGUCCGGAAUCAUUGGGCGUAAAGAGCGCGUAGGCGGUCCGGUAAGUCCGCUGUGAAAGUCAAGGGCUCAACCCUGGAAUGCCGGUGGAUACUGUCGGGCUCGAAUCCGGAAGAGGUGAGUGGAAUUCCUGGUGUAGCGGUGAAAUGCGCAGAUAUCAGGAAGAACACCCGUGGCUAAGGCGGCUCUCUAGUACGGUACUGACGCUGAGACGCGAAAGCGUGGGGAGCGAACAGG
rnacentral:rRNA from 1 species